rnacentral:rRNA from 1 species
UACAGAGGUCUCAAGCGUUGUUCGGAUUCAUUGGGCGUAAAGGGUGUGUAGGUGGCGCGCUAAGUCGGGUGUGAAAUUUCGGAGCUUAACUCCGAAACUGCAUUCGAUACUGGCGUGCUUGAGGACUGGAGAGGAGACUGGAAUUCAUGGUGUAGCAGUGAAAUGCGUAGAGAUCAUGAGGAAGACCAGUGGCGAAGGCGGCUCACUGGACCGGCAUUGACGCUGAGGUGCGAAAGCGUGGGGAGCAAACAGG